GUCUUGGCGCUGAGAUGUCAAGUCUGGCCUGCCCACUGAUGAAUUAAAGGGCCGCGGUAUCAUGACCGUGCAAAGGUAGCAUAAUCACUAGUCUUUUAAUUGAAGGCUUGAAUGAACGGUCUUACGAAAAAUAAACUGUCUUCUAAUAAAAAGAUUUAAAUUAACUUUUAAGUAAAAAGGCUUAAAUACUCCAAAGUGACGAUAAGACCCUAUAAAACUUGAUAAGCAAACUUUUAAAAUGAAACUAGAUAAAUAAACAUUUUUAAAUGGUACUAUUUUAUUGGGGCGAUAAAAAUAUAAGUGUAACUGUUUCUUACAUACAAUGUGAUAAACAUUAAAGAUUGAUCCUUUUAUAAAGAUUAAAAGAUUAAGUUACUUUAGGGAUAACAGCGUAAUUUUCUUUGAGAGUUCAUAUCUACAAGAAAGAUUGCGACCUCGAUGUUGAAUUAAAAAAUCUUUAAGGUGCAGCAGCUUUAAAAGAAGGUCUGUUCGACCUUUAAAUUUUU
rnacentral:rRNA from 1 species